rnacentral:rRNA from 1 species
CUACGUGCCAGCAGCCGCGGUAAUACGGAAGGUCCGGGCGUUAUCCGGAUUUAUUGGGUUUAAAGGGAGCGUAGGCCGGAGAUUAAGUGUGUUGUGAAAUGUAGACGCUCAACGUCUGACUUGCAGCGCAUACUGGUUUCCUUGAGUACGCACAACGUUGGCGGAAUUCGUCGUGUAGCGGUGAAAUGCUUAGAUAUGACGAAGAACUCCGAUUGCGAAGGCAGCUGACGGGAGCGCAACUGACGCUUAAGCUCGAAGGUGCGGGUAUCGAACAGGAUUAGAUACCCUGGUAGUCCGCACAGUAAACGAUGGAUGCCCGCUGUUGGUACCUGGUAUCAGCGGCUAAGCGAAAGCAUUAAGCAUCCCACCUGGGGAGUACGCCGGCAACGGUGAAACUCAAAGGAAUUGACGGGGGCCCGCACAAGCGGUGGAGCAUGUGGUUUAAUUCGAAGCAACGCGAAGAACCUUACCAGGUCUUGACAUCCCUCUGACCGCUCUAGAGAUAGAGUUUUCUUCGG